CCUACGGGAGGCAGCAGUAGGGAAUCUUCCGCAAUGGACGAAAGUCUGACGGAGCAACGCCGCGUGAGUGAUGAAGGUUUUCGGAUCGUAAAGCUCUGUUGUUAGGGAAGAACAAGUACCGUUCGAACAGGGCGGUACCUUGACGGUACCUAACCAGAAAGCCACGCUAACUACGUGCCAGCAGCCGCGGU
rnacentral:rRNA from 1 species